GCAGAACAUUGCCCUGGACAGCGAGGAGGGGGAGCAGUUUGACGGGGUGACUGAUGACGUGGCCGAGCCCAUGCAUGGCAGCCUGGCCGGAGUGAAACUGAGCAGUCAGCAGGCCUGAACUGAACGCCUGACUCCUCCACCAUGGGCGCAGCGACUGCUCUUUCCCAGCCUGACCACAGAGCUGGCUUUGAACUGCUACUGCCUGUGGGGACUGGCCGGCGGGCUGUUGGGGACAGGUGGCUAUUUCUCAGUCUAUGGCGCACUAUUGAUUGGCUGAUCUUGCUUCAGACCGUUCUCUGGUAGAUAUGGUAACUAAAUGUGACAAGCCAGUACGGUGGUGGCUCAGGAACGCACGUGUGGAGAGCAGAGGCUUGCUCGAUCCUCCUCUCAACCCUCCUUCCCACUGUACCCGUUGGGUGGGCCGCC